AUUGAACGCUGGCGGCAGGCCUAACACAUGCAAGUCGAACGAGCGGCGGACGGGUGAGUAAUGUAUGGGAAACUGCCCGAUGGAGGGGGAUAACUACUGGAAACGGUAGCUAAUACCGCAUACCAUCGGAUGUACCCAGAUGGGAUUAGCUAGUAUGUGGGGUAACGGCUCACCUAGGCGACGAUCCCUAGCUGGUCUGAGAGGAUGACCAGCCACACUGGAACUGAGACACGGUCCAGACUCCUAUGGGAGGCCGCAGUGGGGAAGAUUGCACAAUGGGCGCAAGCCUGAUGCAGCCAUGCCGCGUGUAUGAAGAAGGCCUUAGGGUUGUAAAGUACUUUCAGUGGGGAGGCGUUACUGACAGAAGAAGCACCGGCUAACUCCGUGCCAGCAGCCGCGGUAAUAC
rnacentral:rRNA from 1 species